rnacentral:rRNA from 1 species
UACGUAGGGGGCAAGCGUUGUCCGGAUUUAUUGGGCGUAAAGAGCGUGUAGGCGGCCAGACAGGUCCGUUGUGAAAACUCGAGGCUCAACCUCGAGACGCCGAUGGAAACCGUCUGGCUAGAGUCCGGAAGAGGAGAGUGGAAUUCCUGGUGUAGCGGUGAAAUGCGCAGAUAUCUGGAGGAACACCGGUGGCGAAGGCGGCAUCCUGGACCGACACUGACGCUGAGGAGCGAAAGCCAGGGGAGCAAACGGG